UUCCUUCAAAUCGAACAUCUCGGUGGUGCAAUCCAUCACCGUUCCAGUGAGCCUAGAGGACCAGAUGAAGAUGAUUGAUGUUCUUUCAUACGUCACCACUGAGAGACUCUGUUUAAUGGUUACUGUAAUGGUUCACAUGCUUGACAGAAAGGUGUAGAAAAAUGUAGGCAGAUCAUGUUGCUGCUCUCUUAUAACCUUAGCGGUAGUGCUAGAAAAGUAGCAACAUUCUUAACUCUGGUUUUAUAUUGAAACAGGGUGGACCAAACCAGUGCAGAAUUUAUCAUUUUUGACCUUUUCUUGAUCUUUACUCUGUCUGUGGCAGAUAUUUACAGAGUGUCACGGAGAGAAGCAUGACUGAUGGAGGGAGAGGAAUAAGUGUUGUAGAGAGAAGAGAAUUUUUUUGUACAAAACUUUGCUGUUGUUGAGAUGGCUAGCUUCUUCCACAACAAAUGCGCUUUUAAGGAGCAGUUUGCAGAGCUGCAAAUGGGCCACUAACAUAAUUUACAGUGACAUAAUCAUUGUGUUUACCGUCACCCCGGGCUAAAUGAGUUUACAGUGAUGCAUGUUUAAAAAAAAAAAAAAAGACUUGUGAACUGCCACUAAUGGUGGCAUUCUUUCAUGACUGUCUCACUUAGGCUUAGAUUUUAGAUUGCCAGGAGAAGCACAGAUGUGUGCAGUGAUCAGAAGUAGAGCAAGCCACCACAGGGGGAGAGGGAGAGAAUCGCACGUGACUGGUAGACUGCAGAGUAUGUCUGCAAAGUCAUCUGAGGUCGGUCAGUCUGUGUGAUGAGAUAAAUGACGCAGAGUUAGGGCCCAGGCUGAGUACAACACAGUGACGCACAGGCCAAAGGUUUGCGCUUUGCAUAGCAGAACAGAUAACAAUUGAACCUUGGCUCUGUUUACAGACAAGAAAGCCACACAGAGAGUUUCAAGUGAGAAAGAAAAACUGGAUUUAUGUCACUGCAUUAAGCUACACAAUUAGGCUCCAGCACUGGCGGAGCUUCCACCUGGAGUCUAUCAUCUUGGAAAUUGCAGUGGUGGCUUUAGUGGGACCAGUGAGACCACAGUGGCAGUGGCUGCUUGGUGAUGUUCUGAGGCUCAGCACAGUAAAUACUCCAAAACAGAAGAGAGUGGAGGAAAGGGAAAGAGAGAUGAAGCUGGGGGAUUGCAGUAGAGCGAAAACUGGCCUUCCUCCAGAUCCAUCCAAAGUGCAAUCUGGGUAGCUGUAUGCUUAUUCUGUGAACAUACAACUCCUACAGGAUGAGAGGUGACUGGAUCUUGCCACUGGAUGCUACACAUCAUCCAUGUUAGCCAGGAUUUGACUUCACUCCCAGUUCUUCAAAGGCUGAAAUACGCAUUUCCCCCCCUACUUUCCUGUUGGAUCUAGGGGCAGACAUAUUCCUUUCAUCAGAAGGUGCUUUUCUCUGACAGCACAGAUUAGUGAGAGGCAAAAGCAUUUUGAAAUGCAAGGCUCAUUUCAUUGCUCACACACUGAGUCUUUAUAAUGCUUUGCAUUAAUAAAUGGUUCAUCCAAGGUCUUCUAGCUGUCGUCCUAUUAAAUUCAGCAUAUAAAAAAUGUAUGUAAGCUCACGUCACACAAGGUAUACUGAAUUCAAAUGAUGCCAGCAGCUCUGUGCAGGUGCAGAAAGACAGCCACUUCACAUUUGUUUGAUCUCUAUUAAGAAAGUUUAAAUUAAAGUGAAGGGAGAAGACUAGCAAGCAAGGACUGAUGGGAGACACGGAGAUGAAAUUAGUUACUUUACUUCAUGCUCAGGUUGCUUAUGACAUUAGGGGUACUUGGUGACAUAAACACUCUGGGCUUGGCCUCAUCUUUCUCAGCUGGAGUGUGGAGCCUCACCGUGGGAUUUGGAGUUCCUGUAAACCCUGCCUUCUGUUGUUUACACUUAGGCUAAAGCUGAUGUUUCAGGGAGCCAUUCUGCCCACCUGGAGAUCUCCUCAGAAAUCUGUAGGCUGUGUAUCUGUGUAUUAUCGAAACACAGCAAACGUACUUGCUUUGCUUAAUCAUUAUUUUCUUUAAGUCAAAUUUCAAGCCAAAUUUUAAAAUGUGACUAUGGUGAUCCCCUGUGAAAUAGUCACUGUCAAAUCUAUAUCCAAGUAGGAACACUGUAAGGCUUUUCUUUGAACUUAUAUCAGUAGGCUGACCUGCUCACAACAAUAAUACAUGACAUUAAGCAAAUACAGUAUAUUUAUGACAUAUUCAUGCUCUUAGUUAAGCAUGGUAAGCACAGACUGUAUAUAAAAGAUGUACAUUUUUACAUAUAGCAAAGCCAACACAGAGGCCAUCAGGAGAUAAUAGGUAUGAUUAUGGAAAGCCUUCCAGUCCUAUGGAUGUCUAUGGGAAAAUGGGACCUCUGUAAGCUCACAUCACAGAAGAUAAACACUGAGUUAACAGGCUUAGUCACUCAUUUCAGGUCAAACUAAAUAACAUGUAAAGUCCAUUUUGCUCAUUUUGGUCAUUCUAAGUGUCACUAAACAGGACUAUCCAGGAGAUGUUCACUGGUUAACAAUUUGUUACUGAUAAAUUAUUAGCAAGUGAUUCGUCACCACACUCAGUUUCAAAACAUCAAGCUGGUGAGGACCUCUUAGCCUUUACUGAUGUGACACUGCCACACCUAUGAGAUUUAGCAGCAGACGGGCAUGCUACCUUCCACAGGCAACCGUGGGUACAAGAUUUUCACUAUUUCCAGGAUGGAUGUAAACAGACAGUAAGAGAUCUUUUACAAAACAGAGCACAUACAGAGAGAGCUCACAUUGACUUUUAUAAAUAAUAAACUGAUGCAUUGCUUGCCCCGCUUCUCCUCACUGCAUGCCCAUGGUUUAUAGUUUGUGCACUGGCUUCUUGAAGCAUUUCAAGCCUUCAACUAUUAUGACUGUUGACAUCACCUAAGUGCCUAUGUUUGUACAAAAGGAAGACUGCUAAGUUAUUGGGUAAAGUGUUCAAUCGUGUUUGGAAAGGUACUUUCAUAGACUUUAA